rnacentral:rRNA from 1 species
CCUACGGGCGGCAGCAGUGAGGAAUAUUGGUCAAUGGGCGCGAGCCUGAACCAGCCAAGUAGCGUGAAGGAUGACUGCCCUACGGGUUGUAAACUUCUUUUAUAAAGGAAUAAAGUGAGGCACGUGUGCCUUUUUGUCUGUACUUUAUGAAUAAGGAUCGGCUAACUCCGUGCCAGCAGCCGCGGUAAUACGGAGGAUCCGAGCGUUAUCCGGAUUUAUUGGGUUGAAAGGGAGCGUAGAUGGGUUGUUAAGUCAGUUGUGAAAGGUUGCGGCUCAACCGUAAAAUUGCAAUUGAUACUGGCAGCCUUGAGUACAGUUGAGGUAGGCGGAAUUCGUGGGGUAGCGGUGAAAUGCUUAGA